UACGGAGGGUGCGAGCGUUGUCCGGAAUCACUGGGCGUAAAGGGCGCGUAGGCGGCAGGCCAAGCGUGCGGUGAAAGUCCGGGGCUCAACCCCGGAUCUGCCGUGCGGACUGGUUUGCUAGAGCACUGUAGAGGCGAGUGGAAUUCCGGGUGUAGCGGUGGAAUGCGUAGAGAUCCGGAAGAACACCGGUGGCGAAGGCGGCUCGCUGGACCGGCAUUGACGCUGAGGUGCGAAAGCGUGGGGAGCAAACAGG
rnacentral:rRNA from 1 species